UACGGAGGGUGCGAGCGUUGUCCGGAAUCACUGGGCGUAAAGGGCGCGUAGGUGGCGCGGGUAGUCGUCGGUGAAAGCUCAGGGCUCAACCCUGAGUCGGCCGGUGAUACUCCCGUGCUUGAGUGUGGUAGAGGCCAAUGGAAUUCCGGGUGUAGCGGUGGAAUGCGUAGAGAUCCGGAAGAACACCGGUGGCGAAGGCGGUUGGCUGGGCCACAACUGACACUGAGGAGCGAAAGCGUGGGGAGCGAACAGG
rnacentral:rRNA from 1 species